AAAAAAAAAAAUCUCUAAUCCCCAUUUCCAAUAAAAUUCACAAAAGGCAAGAAAGAGAAUAACUAGAAAUUACAAAAGCUUCUACAUUGUCACCAAGUGCUCAAACUUUCUAUGGACUUUUCCUGAAGUAAAUAAUGGAACUAGAAGUAUCAUGCUUAUUGAACUAUUCCUGACCUUAUUUACAAGGUAGAUGUUACGCACUUGGCUAGCAAAAAUUAAGCCUUAUAUAUACAUAAGAUGCAAGUACGAAUUAGCAUUGAA
rnacentral:misc_RNA from 1 species